rnacentral:rRNA from 1 species
GACUCUCGGCAACGGAUAUCUCGGCUCUCGCAUCGAUGAAGAACGUAGCGAAAUGCGAUACUUGGUGUGAAUUGCAGAAUCCCGUGAACCAUCGAGUCUUUGAACGCAAUGCGCGAGGCCUCCUGGUCGAGGGCACGUCUGCCUGGGUGUCA